rnacentral:rRNA from 1 species
CUACGGGUCGCUCCAGUGGGGAAUAUUGGACAAUGGGGGAAACCCUGAUCCAGCAAUGCCGCGUGUGUGAAGAAGGCCUGCGGGUUGUAAAGCACUUUCGGUUGGGAGGACUGCUUCUAGCACUAAUAUUGUUGGAAGUUGACGUUACCUUCAGAAGAAGCACCGGCUAACUCCGUGCCAGCAGCCGCGGUAAUACGAGAGGGUGCAAGCGUUAAUCGGAAUUACUGGGCGUAAAGCGCGCGUAGGCGGCUAGAUCAGUCGGGUGUGAAGGCCCCGGGCUUAACCUGGGAACUGCAUCCGAUACUGUCUAGCUUGAGUACAGGAGAGGAGAGUGGAAUUCCACAUGUAGCGGUGAAAUGCGUAGAUAUGUGGAGGAACACCAAUGGCGAAGGCAGCUCUCUGGCCUGAUACUGACGCUGAGGUGCGAAAGCGUGGGGAGCAAACAGGAUUAGAUACCCUAGUAGUC